CGCAAUGAGGUUAGCAGGGGAAAACGGCUAUCGGAAUUUGCUUCACGAGAACAUUUGUGAAACAUGCAGACGACGAACUCAAAUCAUUGGUGUCUUGCACAGGAUUCUCAGUUCUUUUAUGCUUUGGGAUGUAAAACAGCAACUGGCUGUUUAAAAGGAUGCACGUGACAAGACGUUCCACAUAGGGGAUUUCCACUAUUUGCAAGGCAGAUGACAUGGAACUAUUCUUCAGAGGGUGAAAUGGGGGGAAAAAACUGCAGGAAGCAAAACAUGUUUCUUUUGAGUGAAGACAGAGAGAGCCAGAAGCCAGCCUGGGCUUGUCAGCAUGAACACAAUCUUUCGGUACAGUACCCCCCUCUCAUAUAAGCAUGCAUUUGCACACACAUAGAGUGAUUUUGUUCUGCAGUAAAGACACUGAAUUACAUAAAAUUAAGUGACACUGAUGACAAAAGACUGGGCCAGCAUCUCCCACUCUACCAUAGUCUUGUUUUAGUGAAAAAUAUUGUGAUAUUUGUGAUAUUUGAAUUUAAACUCUGGGAAUCUCCAAAAGCUCAUGUAGACCAUACAUCAUAAUUUCUCCUUAAGGAGAGGUGAAAGGCAAGCCUUGAUGGAAGAUGACAGCACACUGCUGGUAAUAUGGGUAUCUGCAGGUAAAGGCCAUGAGUGACUUCAAAAUUCUAAGCUAUACACUGUAUAGAAAUUUUUUUAUUCACUGUGAAAUGAUAGUAUACUCUAAUGAUUGUAGAUUCAGGUCAUACCACUGUGAAUAAAAAAAAAAAAUAAAAAAUAAAAAAGAGAGAGAGAAAAAAAAGAUAUUAGCUGUUGUUAUUAUAGUAGGUUUAAACUGCUUGUAUAGGGAUUGUCAGCAAAAUGAUAAAUUCCAAACCCAAUAUGGCAAUAUUUAAAGGGCCAGUUCACCCAAAAAUGACAUUUAUGUUAUAAAGACGGGAUCACAACCUUAUUGGUACUUGAGUGUCAAGCAAACACUUUUCAGCUUCCGUUUUACCAUAUUUGAUGGGCUGUAUGUAUGUGUGUUGAUCAUUGGCCGUAUGUAAAUAAAAGUUAAAUCUGUUCAUCAUAUAAUUUCAGUCAUGAUUCAAAAGAAAAGUACUGUUUACAAACAGAUUUUCCUAAACACUUUUACACCAUUGGUCAGUCAAACAGGAAGUCCCACCACAGACCCCAUGAUUGAAUGAGUCAGUUGAUGUCAGACCACCCCAAAUAAACAGAGAAAUGAUUAAAGUUUCACAGAGCCCUACACACUUUUUGGGGAAAUCAACUUACUCUAUGAAUGGCCUACUGUAUACAUAUUUCUUCACAUUACACUGGGAUAAGAGGAAGUAUUUUAUCAUCUAGAAAAGUACAGACAUCCACCUUUAAGUUAAAAUAAGAUUUAAGUAUUAAUUAGCUAAUAUAAAAAAAAUCAACGACAGUUUUUAAUCCUAUUUUCAUGUUUGGGAAAAAUACUCCUGCAUACUGAAGUUUUGGCCUUUGUUUAGCCAGAGACAGUAAAGGAGGAAGGAAGAAAUCUGCAAUGCUUAAAUGUCAAGGCUCAAUAUGGCAGCUGUUUGAAAGGAAGUCCCACCUUCCAUCUGUGUAAUUACAAAAGCGCUGGCUGAAACAUGCAUGUGAAUUAGCUGAAUCAACCUGAUUUUUCCUCCUCUUCUUCUUCUUCUUCUUCUUCUUUUUAUCUGAAUAAAUACAAAGGCUAA